rnacentral:rRNA from 1 species
CCAGACUCCUACGGGAGGCAGCAGUGGGGAAUAUUGCACAAUGGGGGGAACCCUGAUGCAGCGACGCCGCGUGGGUGAAGAAGUAUUUCGGUAUGUAAAGCCCUAUCGGCAGGGAAGAAAUUGGACGGUACCUGACUAAGAAGCCCUGGCUAACUACGUGCCAGCAGCCGCGGUAAUACGUAGGGGGCAAGCGUUAUCCGGAUUUACUGGGUGUAAAGGGGGCGCAGACGGCGAUGCAAGCCAGGAGUGAAAGCCCGGGGCCCAACCCCGGGACUGCUCUUGGAACUGCGUGGCUGGAGUGCAGGAGGGGCAGGCGGAAUUCCUGGUGUAGCGGUGAAAUGCGUAGAUAUCAGGAGGAACACGGGUGGCGAAGGCGGCCUGCUGGACUGCAACUGACGUUGAGGCUCGAAAGCGUGGGGAGCGAACAGGAUUAGAUACCCGUGUA